rnacentral:rRNA from 1 species
UAACAAGGAUUCCCCUAGUAACUGCGAGUGAAGCGGGAAAAGCUCAAAUUUAAAAUCUGGCGGUCCUCGUGGUCGUCCGAGUUGUAAUCUGGAGAAGUGCUUUCCGUGCUGGACCGUGUACAAGUCUCUUGGAACAGAGCGUCGUAGAGGGUGAGAAUCCCGUCUUUGACAUGGACUACCAGUGCUUUGUGAUGCGCUCUCGAAGAGUCGAGUUGUUUGGGAAUGCAGCUCAAAAUGGGUGGUAAAUUCCAUCUAAAGCUAAAUAUUGGCGAGAGACCGAUAGCGAACAAGUACCGUGAGGGAAAGAUGAAAAGAACUUUGGAAAGAGAGUUAAACAGUACGUGAAAUUGCUGAAAGGGAAACGCUUGAAGUCAGUCGCGUUGGGUCGGGACUCAGCCUUGCUUUUGCUUGGUUUAUUUUCCGGUCAACGGGUCAGCAUCAGUUUCGAUCGUUGGACAAUGGCCAGGGGAAUGUGGCAUCCUCGGAUGUGUUAUAGCCCUUGGUCGCAUACGAUGGUUGGGACUGAGGAUCUCAGCGCGCCUUUAUGGUCGGGGUUCGCCCACGUUUGCGCUUAGGAUGCUGGCAUAAUGGCUUUAAACGAC